UGCGGAAGGGACAUUG
rnacentral:rRNA from 3 species